ACGGGUGAGUAACACGUGGAUAACCUGCCCCUUUGUGGGGAAUACCGCUGGGAAACCGGCGACAAUACCGCAUAAGCUCGAGAGAGGAAAGCAGCAAUGCGCAGAGGGAGGGGUCCGCGGUCGAUUAGCUAGUUGGUGAGGUAAUGGCUCACCAAGGCUGUGAUCGAUAGCCGGCCUGAGAGGGCACACGGCCACACUGGCACUGAAACACGGGCCAGACUCCUACGGGAGGCAGCAGUGGGGAAUCUUGCACAAUGGGGGAAACCCUGAUGCAGCGACGCCGCGUGAGCGAUGAAGCCCUUCGGGGUGUAAAGCUCUUUCGGCAGGGAAGAUUAUGACGGUACCUGCAGAAGCAGCUGCGGCUAACUACGUGCCAGCAGCCGCGG
rnacentral:rRNA from 1 species